GAUAAACGCUGGCGGCGUGCUUAACACAUGCCAGUCGAACGAAGUUUUUCCUUCGGGAGCAACUUAGUGGCGGACGGGUGAGUAACGCGUGGGUAACCUGCCCUGUACAGGGGGACAACAGCUGGAAACGGCUGCUAAUACCGCAUAAGCCCUUAGCACUGCAUGGUGCAUAGGGAAAAGGAGCAAUCCGGUACAGGAUGGACCCGCGUCUGAUUAGCCAGUUGGCAGGGUAACGGCCUACCAAAGCGACGAUCAGUAGCCGAUCUGAGAGGAUGUACGGCCACAUUGGGACUGAGACACGGCCCAGACUCCUACGGGAGGCAGCAGUGGGGAAUAUUGCACAAUGGAGGAAACUCUGAUGCAGCGACGCCGCGUGAGUGAAGAAGUAUUUCGGUAUGUAAAGCUCUAUCAGCAGGGAAGAAAAUGACGGUACCUGACUAAGAAGCACCGGCUAAAUACGUG
rnacentral:rRNA from 1 species